UUCCUUUCGCUUCUUUACUUAGCUUUCAUAUUGACUUCCUAGCCAUUCUUGCAAAUUGGAUACCAGCUCAUCGCCAACAUCGAGGUGAUGAACAAUGCAAAAAGGAAAGCAGCUCAGGUGGAGGAAGGCCGCCAGGCUGAGGCUACCCACCUCAAGGAGAAGGUCGCCGAGGUCGCGAGUCUCCAAGAGGUGCUGCAGAAAGAGGAACAAACCUCG
rnacentral:lncRNA from 1 species